rnacentral:rRNA from 1 species
UAGGGAAUAUUGGACAAUGGGGGCAACCCUGACCCAGCCAUGCCGCGUGAGUGAAGAAGGCCCUCGGGUUGUAAAGCUCUUUUGUCCGGAAAGAAAAGCAUUCGGUGAAUACCCGGAUGUUCUGACGGUACCGGAAGAAUAAGCACCGGCUAACUUCGUGCCAGCAGCCGCGGUAAUACGAAGGGUGCAAGCGUUACUCGGAAUUACUGGGCGUAAAGCGUGCGUAGGUGGUUGUUUAAGUCUGCUGUGAAAUCCCCGGGCUCAACCUGGGAAUGGCAGUGGAAACUGGCGGGCUAGAGUACGGUAGAGGAUGGUGGAAUUCCCGGUGUAGCGGUGAAAUGCGUAGAGAUCGGGAGGAACACCAGUGGCGAAGGCGGCCAUCUGAACCAGUACUGACGCUGAGGCACGAAAGCGUGGGGAGCAAACA